rnacentral:rRNA from 1 species
CAGGGAUUGCCCUAGUAACGGCGAGUGAAGCGGCAACAGCUCAAAUUUGAAAGCUAGCCUUCGGGUUCGCAUUGUAAUUUGUAGAGGAUGAUUUGGGGAAGCCGCCUGUCUAAGUUCCUUGGAACAGGACGUCAUAGAGGGUGAGAAUCCCGUAUGUGACAGGAAAUGGCACCCUAUGUAAAUCUCCUUCGACGAGUCGAGUUGUUUGGGAAUGCAGCUCUAAAUGGGAGGUAAAUUUCUUCUAAAGCUAAAUAUUGGCGAGAGACCGAUAGCGCACAAGUAGAGUGAUCGAAAGAUGAAAAGCACUUUGGAAAGAGAGUUAAAAAGCACGUGAAAUUGUUGAAAGGGAAGCGCUUGCAAUCAGACUUGUUUAAACUGUUCGGCCGGUCUUCUGACCGGUUUACUCAGUUUGGACAGGCCAGCAUCAGUUUCGGCGGCCGGAUAAAGGCUCUGGGAAUGUGGCCUCCACUUCGGUGGAGGUGUUAUAGCCCAGGGUGUAAUACGGCCAGCCGGGACUGAGGUCCGCGCUUCGGCUAGGAUGCUGGCGUAAUGGUUGUAAGCGACCCGUCUUGAAACACGGACCAAGGAGUCUAACAUCUAUGCGAGUGUUCGGGUGUCAAACCCCUGCGCGUAAUGAAAGUGAACGGAGGUGGGAACCCGCAAGGGUGCACCAUCGACCGAUCCUGAUGUCUUCGGAUGGAUUUGAGUAAGAGCAUAGCUGUUGGGACCCGAAAGAUGGUGAACUAUGCCUGAAUAGGGUGAAGCCAGAGGAAACUCUGGUGGAGGCUCGCAGCGGUUCUGACGUGCAAAUCGAUCGUCAAAUUUGGGUAUAGGGGCGAAAGACUAAUCGAACUAUCUAGUAGCUGGU